AGCUCCAAUAGCGUAUAUUAAAGUUGUUGCAGUUAAAAAGCUCGUAGUUGAACUUCUGUACGUGCCCUGUUCUGGCUUCGGUCAAACAGUUCUCUGGUGCGUGCAUCCGCUUGCAAACUAGUCUCGGCCUUAACUGGUCGUUCUAGGGAGUAAGCCCUUUACUUUGAAAAAAUUAGAGUGUUUCAGGCAGGCAAUUGGUCUCUCGAAUACAUUAGCAUGGAAUAAUGGAAUAGGACUUUUGUCCAUUUGGUUGGUUAUUGGACAUGAGUAAUGAUUAACAGGGACAGUUGGGGGCAUUAGUAUUUAAUUGUCAGAGGUGAAAUUCUUGGAUUUAUUAAAGACUAACUUAUGCGAAAGCAUUUGCCAAGGAUGUUUUCAUUAAUCAAGAACGAAAGUACGC
rnacentral:rRNA from 1 species